AACCGAGUACGAUCGCCUUGAGUUGAUAUGGCUCAGGACGAACGCUGGCGGCGUGCUUAACACAUGCAAGUCACGGGGGUCCGGGGGCAACCCUGGAUAACCGGCGAACGGGUGCGUAACACGUGACCAACCUGCCCUCGUGUGGGGGAUAGCCGGGCUAACGCCCGGGUAAUACCGCAUACGUUCUCUCGGGGGAGUCCCCGGGGGAGGAAAGCUCCGGCGCACGGGGAGGGGGUUGCGGCCUAUCAGCUAGUUGGUGCGGUAACGGCGCACCAAGGCGACGACGGGUAGCUGGUCUGAGAGGAUGGCCCGCUACAUUGGGACUGAGAGACGGCCCAGACUCCUACGGGAGGCACCAGUGGGGAAUCUUGCGCAAUGGUCUAACGACUGACGCAGCGACUCCGCGUGUGGGAGGACGCCUUUCGGGGUGUAAACCACUGUUGCCCGGGACGAACACCUUCUUUCGAGAAGGCUCACGGUACCGGGUGAGGAAGCACCGGCUAACUCCGUGCCACCAGCCUCGGUAAUACCGAGGGUGCGAGCGUUGUCCGGAAUCUUUGCGCGUAGAGGGCACUUAAGUGGCCCCGUCAGUCCGUGGUGAAAGCGCGUGGCUCAUCCCUGCAUCUGCCAUGGAUACUGCCGCUGCUCGAGCACUGUAGAUGCANGCUGAAUUCCCUGUGUAGCGGUGGACUGCUACACAUCUCGAAUAUCUCUGUCGGGAUGCNGCCUGUAGGCAAUUAUUGCACUGAGCUCACACGUGGGAAUAACUGAUAGAACCUGUAGUCGUCCCUACAC
rnacentral:rRNA from 1 species